rnacentral:lncRNA from 1 species
GCCUGCAUUUGGAAUCAUCAUUCCUUUUAUUUUUUUUUAAAGAAAAAACUUUUAGCCUCCCUCAUUAGGUAUGGUGCCCCCUAGGCACCUUACUUAGUGUUUGGUGACUUACAUAGGCAGCCUCCCUCUAGUUGGGUUGCUGAAUGGCCUAAGAUGUAACUACUAGAGCUUAAGGCUUUUUUUCAUAUCUGGUGCCCAGUAGUCUAGUAUGACAUCAUUUUUUAUUAUUUAAGUCA